AUCAGUGGCAUUUCAUAGUUCUGUAGUGUUUUUCUAUUUUCACAAAUUAACAUAGCAAUCUUGUGCUGCCUAUGCAUGGAUAUUCACUUUUGCAGAUGAGGAAACAAGAAUUCACAUAUGAAGCAAAAUAAGUGAGACCCAAGGCUCCAGAUUCUACAACAGAUGCUUCCCAUAUCUAUGCCUAAUGAAGACAUCGUAUUUGAGGAAACAUAUAGAAAGAAGAGAAGUCUCUGAAACCUGAACAACAGGUUGGAAAGACUCAAAGCUGUACUAAGCCUUCUAAACCAUGAAAACAUUCUGGACCCUUAAGUACACAGUCUCCAAACACCUUCACAGUAGAAACUUCUGUCCUGUCAACUUGCUCAGAGGGUUGCAUAUCUGCCAAAUCUUCUAUAAUUACAGAAGGGGUUCCAUAGCAAGUAAGUUCAA